CAAAACGACUCUCGGCAACGGAUAUCUCGGCUCUCGCAUCGAUGAAGAACGUAGCGAAAUGCGAUACUUGGUGUGAAUUGCAGAAUCCCGUGAACCAUCGAGUCUUUGAACGCAAGUUGCGCCCAAAGCCAUUUGGCUAAGGGCACGUCUGCCUGGGCGUCACGCA
rnacentral:rRNA from 1 species